UACGUAGGGUGCGAGCGUUGUCCGGAAUUAUUGGGCGUAAAGGGCUCGUAGGCGGUUUUGUCGCGUCGGGGAGUGAAAAACCUUUGGGCUUAACUCAGGGCUUGCUUUUCGAUACGGGGCAGACUAGAGGUAUGCAGGGGGGAGAACGGAAUUCCUGGUGUAGCGGUGAAAAUGCGCAGAUAUCAGGAGGAACACCGGUGGCGAAGGCGGUUCUCUGGGCAUGAUCUGACGCUGAGGAGCGAAAAGUGUGGGGGAGCGAACAGG
rnacentral:rRNA from 1 species